rnacentral:rRNA from 1 species
UGCGUAGGCGGCUUUUUAAGUCGGAUGUGAAAUCCCUGAGCUUAACUUAGGAAUUGCAUUCGACACUGGGAAGCUAGAGUAUGGGAGAGGAUGGUAGAAUUCCAGGUGUAGCGGUGAAAUGCGUAGAGAUCUGGAGGAAUACCGAUGGCGAAGGCAGCCAUCUGGCCUAAUACUGACGCUGAGGUACGAAAGCAUGGGGAGCAAACA